UCUGACAGAGAUGAAUGUGCCAAGCAAA
rnacentral:piRNA from 1 species